rnacentral:rRNA from 1 species
AGACAUGGGCGACAGACCUGAUCUAGCCAUGCCGCGUGUGAUGAAGGCCUUAGGGUCGUAAAGCACUUUCGCCAGGGAUGAUAAUGACAGUACCUGGUAAAGAAAACCCCGGCUAACUCCGUGCCAGCAGCCGCGGUAAUACGGAGGGGGUUAGCGUUGUUCGGAAUUACUGGGCGUAAAGCGUACGUAGGCGGAUCAGAAAGUUGGGGGUGAAAUCCCAGGGCUCAACCCUGGAACUGCCUCCAAAACUCCUGGUCUUGAGUUCGAGAGAGGUGAGUGGAAUUCCGAGUGUAGAGGUGAAAUUCGUAGAUAUUCGGAGGAACACCAGUGGCGAAGGCGGCUCACUGGCUCGAUACUGACGCUGAGGUACGAAAGUGUGGGGAGCAAACAGGAUUAGAUACCCUGGUAGUCCAUACCGUAACGAUGAGGUGCCAGUCGUCGGGCAGUAUACUGUUCGGUGACACACCUAACGGAUUAAGCAUUCCGCCUGGGGAGUAC